AUUGAACGCUGGCGGCAUGCGUAACACAUGCAAGUCGAACGGUGGGCGGUGCUUGCAUCGCCUACAGUGGCGGACGGGUGAGUAAUACGUAGGAAUCUGUCUUAGAGAGGGGGGAUAACCUUGGGAAACUAGGGCUAAAACCGCAUAGACUCGAGAGAGGAAAGCAGGGGACCCGUGAGGGCCCUGUGCUCUAAGGUGAGCCUACGUCAGAUUAGCUAGUUGGUAGGGUAAAGGCCUACCAAGGCGAUGAUCUGUAGCUGGUCUGAGAGGACGGACAGCCACACUGGGACUGAGACACGGCCCAGACUCCUACGGGAGGCAGCAGUGGGGAAUCUUGGACAAUGGGGGCAACCCUGAUCCAGCAAUGCCGCGUGCGUGAAGACGGCCUUCGGGUUGUAAAGCGCUUUCAGUUGGGAGGAGAAGCGUACGCUGAAUAGGUGUACGUGGAGACAUUACUAACAGAAGAAGCACCGGCUAACUCUGUGCCAGCCGCCGCAGUAAUAC
rnacentral:rRNA from 1 species